rnacentral:misc_RNA from 1 species
AAGUCGUAACAAGGUUUCCGUAGGUGAACCUGCGGAAGGAUCAUUACAAAAUUAUCCAACCCACCUUUGUGCACUGUAACAAAACUUCGUCUACCUGGCAGCCAACCUUUGGUUACUGUUAGGUGACUUAUCUAAACCUUUUUAAAAAUGGCUAAUGAAAUCUUCUUACAUUUCUAACUUUCCUUAUUCGUAAGGUAAAGAAAGAAUAUGAAAGAAAUAAUAAAAUAUAACUUUCAGCAACGGAUCUCUUGGCUCUC